rnacentral:rRNA from 1 species
CCUACGGGUGGCAGCAGUGAGGAAUAUUGGUCAAUGGACGAGAGUCUGAACCAGCCAAGUAGCGUGAAGGAUGACUGCCCUAUGGGUUGUAAACUUCUUUUAUAUGGGAAUAAAAUGUUCCACGUGUGGGAUUUUGUAUGUACCAUAUGAAUAAGGAUCGGCUAACUCCGUGCCAGCAGCCGCGGUAAUACGGAGGAUCCGAGCGUUAUCCGGAUUUAUUGGGUUUAAAGGGAGCGUAGGUGGAUUGUUAAGUCAGUUGUGAAAGUUUGCGGCUCAACCGUAAAAUUGCAGUUGAAACUGGCAGUCUUGAGUGCAGUAGAGGUGGGCGGAAUUCGUGGUGUAGCGGUGAAAUGCUUAGAUAUCACGAAGAACUCCGAUUGCGAAGGCAGUUCACUGGACUGCAACUGACACUGAGACUCGAAAGUGUGGGUAUCAAACAGGAUUAGAUACCCCAGUAGUC